rnacentral:rRNA from 1 species
UACGUAGGGGGCAAGCGUUGUCCGGAUUUAUUGGGCGUAAAGAGCGUGUAGGCGGCUAGAUAGGUCCGUUGUGAAAACUCGAGGCUCAACCUCGAGACGUCGAUGGAAACCAUCUGGCUAGAGUCCGGAAGAGGAGAGUGGAAUUCCUGGUGUAGCGGUGAAAUGCGCAGAUAUCAGGAAGAACACCCGUGGCGAAGGCGGCUCUCUGGUACGUGACUGACGCUGAGACGCGAAAGCGUGGGGGAGCGAAACAGG